CAGUAGCCGCGGGAACACAGAGGGUGCGAGCGUUAAUCGGAUUUACUGGGCGUAAAGCGUGCGUAGGCGGCUUUUUAAGUCGGAUGUGAAAUCCCUGAGCUUAACUUAGGAAUUGCAUUCGAUACUGGGAAGCUAGAGUAUGGGAGAGGAUGGUAGAAUUCCAGGUGUAGCGGUGAAAUGCGUAGAGAUCUGGAGGAAUACCGAUGGCGAAGGCAGCCAUCUGGCCUAAUACUGACGCUGAGGUACGAAAGCAUGGGGAGCAAACAGGAUUAGAUACCCCAGUAGUCCCUGUCUCUUAUAC
rnacentral:rRNA from 1 species